ensembl:lncRNA
UGUAUGCUGUUUGGAGUCUGCUUUCCAAAAAGAGGAGGUUGGAGUUUUUAUACACACACGGCGGUGCAUGCCGGGUAAAGCAGAGCGAGUGUUAAACUGAAUCUCGACUGAUCAAAGGAAGUCGCCGCUGGAUGACUAAGGACAAAAUCCGGAGCCUACGGGAACACAGUGCCUUAAGGAAACCACUGAGAAGUCUUGUCUGCGUUAAGCUGGAAGCUUAUCUACGACACAUCUCCAGUGCCGCUUAAAAAGUCUGCAAUUGAGGGUUGUCACAAAAGGAGAAGGAUGAUGAGUUAAGCCGGGCUGCUGGAACGCACAGGCUUACUGCAAAGAUUGAAGCCUUUGAAGUGGUGAAGCUCUCCAAUGAUGCAGACGUAUGUGUGCGUGUGCUCUGGGGUUUUUUUUGUACAUCUGAAUGUACCAGGACUGGUGUGAUAAUACGAAAUAUUUGAGUUCAACAAAAGGUGCUGUCAUGUGCAUUUUUGCUGAACUAUUUGUAUGGUUACUGUUGGGCUGGAUUGUUCGGUUUAGGCUGCUCCCACAGAGUGAAACAGGGCAAGCUUUCUUCAUCAUGACAUUAGAAAACUCAGCGUGGUCUGGCUGGAAAGUGUAGGUAUGACCUCUGUUACGGACGCUCACAGGGUGCCGAGGAUGAGUACGAGGUCCCCGGGUCCUGAUACCACAGUGCUGGUCUCUCUCAAAGAAUAGGAUACGUUUGCUCUUUUUUCCCUUUUUUUCCCUCCAGGGUCACGUAAACAUCAACGCCAGACCUGAGUGGGAUCAAAGUGCUCAUUAAAGAAGCCCAC